AAGCCCACUUCUGUUGGGUGAAGGUCACAGCCACAUCUUCAAAGGCAACUAAGUCCAUAUUCCAACUUCCUGGGUGUCUUGGCAUCCUCGCCAUGCAUCUCCCAGUACCUGCAGGUCACAGAGUGAUAAAGGCUGUGGCAGAACUCCCUGGGCCUCCUAUAGUGAAUAAGAAGGAGCAGUGAAGACUGACUGAGCAAUGGACACCUGGGCAUGAAAGACCUGAGUAGAUUUAUUUCUUGAAAUAAAACCAUGCAGUUCAUCGAAUCAAAGUCCUGAACACAGAAAACAAGGCAGGAAGACAUCACCGAGCACGGUCAGGGGAGGUAUCAGAACAUUCAUUAAAUAACAAGACCAGCAUCAAGUGAAAUACAAAUCAUUUCUUAUAUAUGAAACAAAAAUGUUGUCACCAUCCUUCAAAUUCUAUUGUUGCAUGCAGAAUGUGAAGGGUCUUGUUUGAAUCCACACUUGACACUUUGGCAACUGCUUUUUUCCCCCGGCCCAGCUGGUCAUUGAAAGCUUGCCCUUGGAACUUAGCAAUCAUGUUGUGAGAAAGAAACCCCAGGCCACAUGGAAAAGCCAUGGUGUUUACUUGUUUUUGCUAACAGCCCCAAUUAAACACAGUCUACAGAUAACUACCAGAAAUAGAUGGAAACUGAAGCACUGAUAGACUACAGGCCAUCGUAUCAUGCUUAAAAGUGGCAAAACUUUGCUGCAGUUCCAAUACAAGGUUGAAUGAAACAGGAAAAGAAAUCACAGCAGGAUGGACUUAAAGCAAGAUCUGAAAUUAAAGACUGCAUUAUUCCUCUCAUCCUUCCAAGGGCAGGUGAACACAGAGGGGCAUUUUCUACCACUGAGCUAAUAAUAAAGGCAGACACAAAGAGCCCAUUGCAGUCUUACUGCUGGUAAAGUUUAAGUUGAUCCAAUCUUUUUCUGACCUUUUGAAUUGCCAAUUGGAAAAACACACACA